AACAUGCCCUGUGUUACAAGACUGUUACAGUGCUUGGACAUCUCAUCCACAUUAUUUAUUUUAACCAAGAAUGAAACAUUCAAAGCAUCUUAAGUGCAAAAGCUUUCAUUUUUAAAGUGAGGUAUUUAAUCUCAGUGUUGUGACAAUAAAAAUUGGUUCAUGAUUCUACUUUGAGUUGCCAAAUUUUAACUUCAAUAAUGGUGGAUGAGAAUUGAAAAUGUGGCUACUACCUAGAUGUCCUGCAACAAAAGUGAAGGUUACAAAAACACAUUUUCAGCAAUCAUGAUCACAAAGCUGUGUCCUAUGAAAUUCAACCCCGCAUCCCCCCCCCCCCCCCCCCC